rnacentral:lncRNA from 1 species
CUCCUGACAUCUAUCCUUCAGUCUCCUCUUCCCUUCUGACCUCUCCUUUCAUCUAUCCUUCCUCUCCCCCUCCCUUCUGUCCUUCCUCAUCGAUCCGUCCUCU